GGAAGGAGAAGUCGUAACAAGGUUUUCCAUGAUCCUUCUCGCCGCAUGGGUUCGAGCGCACGGAAGCCUGAGUGUCCGCGUCGCUUCUCACGACGGAUGCUAGUGUCGAGGGUUUCGUGCCCCGGCGCGAUGCCGUCAAAUUGCUGGAAACUCGCAACGAGAUGACGACCUACCAAGCACGGGCGAGCGCCACAUCCAUGGCGUUCCAGUGUGGCCGAGACAAACGAUCUCGGGUAUGGUGAUAACGGUAGACAUCGGCGACAACCCGCAGCCAAGCGCCUCCCGUCCCUUGGGGGGUGUGCAGCUCACAGACUAGAUGACGGCAGGUCCCGAGGCCUUAUUGCACUCGGGCUCAAGAUAUAGUCGGGCUCGUCGCGAGAGACAUGCUUUUGCACUCCGUCAGAGCUUUCACCGUUCCGUAGGUGAACCUGCGGAAGGAUCA
rnacentral:rRNA from 1 species